rnacentral:lncRNA from 1 species
ACCGGGUUCACCUUACGUUGUGCAAUUAGCUGUGUUUUGAAGAACCGUAGCAAUGUCUGGUUGGAAUGCACCUCCCACCCAAUAUAAGAAUCCUUUCAACAGUGUUCCCAGGAGAUGGUCAAACAAUCCUUGCUUUAACUCCUGAAAAUACACAGGGGAAGCUUGUUCCUCUAACUGUGAUACCCUCUGCAGAGCAAGAAUAAUUUUGGAAAAAGAAUAAUCCUUUCAUCUUACAGCACAGCCGAAGCCCGGGAUGCGUGGCCAAAGGAAGAAGGAGCAAGAGAUGAUGAAGGAUUUGUAGGCGAAGCACCAAGGCAACCUUCUGACUGGGGAUCUUAUGACACAGAUGUUGAUACACGGAAUGUGCAAGUGUGGAAGAUUCUCGCUGGACUGCGAUGCCUCCAUCCAACACGUAUUUAUUGCUCCGUCGGUGUGUGCAGGUCUGGAGGCCAGAGAUCAAGGUGUCGGCGGGCCGUGCUCCCACCGAACCUGUGGUGGGGCCCUACGAAGAGAGACGCCAGGGAUUCACGUACACAGAGAAAAGACCAUGUGAGGACACGGUGAGAAGGUGGCUAUCUGCAAGCCAAGGAGAGAGGACUCAAGAGAAAGCAGCCCUGCGGACACCUAUCUUGGACUUCUAGGCUCCAGAACUGAGAAAAUAAAUUUCUUUUAAGCCCCCCA